CUCAGGUGAGGAGCCGCAAGCGCAGUGCGCGUUUGCCAGCGCGGGGCGGCGGUGGAGCCCGGCGGCCCCGCUGCCAGCCCGGGAGGUCUGGGUGAGGAGAACGAACCCCGCCGCCGUCUGCGUUCGAGUCACGCAGAGAGAGCGGCUGUCCCCCGCCGCGCUGGAUCCUCGCCUGUCUCUCCUGGUUGGUGACUCCUGAGGCGCGGAGGGAUGCGAGGUGCAUGGUGACAGCAUUGCAGCAAUGAGUGGAAUUUUAAAGAGGAAGUUUGAAGAAGUUGGUGGAACCUCACCCUGUUCAUGUGUGUGGGAAUCAGAUGACGAUGUUUCUAGCAGUGAAAGUGCUGAUAGUGGAAGUAAUGUCCAUCCAUCUGCUUCUAAUCAUUUUACUCGUACAUGUGACAGCAUUGCAGCAAUGAGUGGAAUUUUAAAGAGGAAGUUUGAAGAAGUUGAUGGCUCCUCACCUUGUUCCUCUGUGAGAGAAUCAGAUGAUGACAUUUCUAGCAGUGAAAGUGCUGACAGUGGUGAUAGUGUCAAUCCUUCCACUUCUAAUCAUUUUACCCCAUCUUCAAUCCUGAAGAGAGAGAAGCGGAAGAGAACAAAGAAUGUCCAUUUCAACUGUGUUACUGUGUAUUACUUCACGAGAAGACAAGGCUUCACCAGUGUUCCCAGCCAAGGGGGGAGCACCCUGGGCAUGUCCACUCGCCACAACAGUGUGCGCCAGUAUACCCUGGGGGAGUUCGCCAUGGAGCAGGAGAGGCUUCACCGAGAGAUGUUGAGAGAGCAUCUAAGGGAGGAAAAACUCAAUUCUCUAAAACUAAAGAUGACAAAGAACGGUACGGUGGAAUCUGAGGAAGCCAAUACACUGACUCUGGAUGACAUUUCUGAUGAUGACAUUGAUCUAGACAACACUGAAGUAGAUGAGUACUUCUUUCUCCAACCCCUGCCUACAAAAAAGCGGCGCGCAUUGCUGCGAGCUUCUGGAGUGAAGAAGAUCGACGUGGAAGAAAAGCACGAGCUGCGAGCCAUCCGCCUGUCCAGAGAGGAUUGUGGCUGUGACUGCCGUGUCUUCUGUGACCCAGAAACUUGCACCUGCAGUCUUGCAGGCAUAAAAUGUCAGGUGGAUCGUAUGUCUUUUCCAUGCGGUUGCACUAAAGAAGGGUGUAGCAAUACAGCAGGUAGAAUCGAAUUUAACCCUAUCCGUGUACGGACUCACUUUUUGCACACGAUAAUGAAACUUGAAUUGGAGAAAAAUAGAGAGCAGCAAGUUCCAGCACUCAAUGGCUGUCACACUGAGAUGAGUGCACACAGUAGUUCCAUGAGUCCAGGACCCCAUCCAGUUGAAUAUUCGAUUGCAGAAAAUUUUGAGAUUGAAACUGAACCCCCAGCUACAGUUAUGCAUUCCCAGUCAGCCGAGGACUUGGACUGCCCAGGGGAAGAGGAGGAAGAGGAAGAUGGGAGUAGCUUUUGUAGUGGAGUUACAGAUUCUAGUACACAGAGUUUAGCCCCUAGUGAAUCAGAUGAUGAUGAAGAGGAGGAGGAAGAUGAGGAGGAAGAUGAGGAGGAAGAAAAAGCAGAUGAUUUUGUAGAAAGUAUGAGCUCCCAUGCUGAUAUGGUGCCUCUUCCUUCUGUCCUUUGCUACUCUGAUGGAACUGCUGUGCAUGAAAACCACUCUAAAAAUGCCUCAUACUAUACUAACUCUUCAACUCUGUAUUACCAAAUAGAGAACCACGUUGCUGGCACUGCUAACCAGAUUGGUGAGACUUACUCAGAAAGGGAUGCUGUCAAGAAUGGUAGUCUUUCUCUGGUGCCUUACAACAUGACUUCAGAACAGUUUGUUGACUACACACGGCAAUCAGAGGAAACUUUCAGCAGCCCUCAUUACCCUUCUGCAAAUCCCUCAGUGAUUGUUUGCUGCUCAUCUUCUGAAGGGGAUGGCAGUGCUCCCUGUAACAGUUUAUACACUGAGCAUAGGCCGAGUCACCCGCCAGUGGAAUUUCACUCAUACUUGAAAGGUCCUUCUCACGAUGGCUUUGUUUCAGCUUUGAAUGGUGACAGUCAUGUGCAAGAACACCCUGCAGAGAAUUCACUAAACCUCCCAGAAAAAAGCAGACUGCACGAAGAGUGCAUCAAAUCACCAGUGGUAGAGACGGUGCCUGUUUAAUAUUAAAAUUAAUUUAGGACUGACUUUCUGUGUUAAAAUUCACUCCCAUUGGAUUUUCCUAGAAACUUACUUUUGUAAGAGAUAGAAAACACUUGGAUUAUAGUCAAUGUUCCAGACACAUUUUGUUUUCUCAAGCUACACUGGCAGUGGUAUUGCACAAAACCAGUUCAUGUAAAGAUUUAAAUUAAAAUAAUCAAGCCCUUUUUUUGAUAAAAAUAAAACAGAUAAGUAAAAAACACACCCAACAUAUUUCAAAGUAGCCUACCUAUGAAUGUGUGUGAAACCUGCCAAGCUAUCUGAAUCAAAGCUUCAUGUUCUUGACUGUCGGGCCUGUGCAAGAUUGUUAAAAAUGAUACUUUGAAAUAAUCAUGUUUAGAGUCCUAAUUUUCAACAUAUUUGAAAAUAUGGUAAGUUUAAUGUAAAAGUAACUGCUGUACAAAGAAAAAGUUUUAAUUGUUCUGUACUGUAUGUAUUUUAUUUAUGGUAGUUUAAGAUUCAUGUUUUGAUAAAAAUGAACAGCAUGUUCAUUUGAGCAGAAGAUCCAUAACUACUUAUGAAGAGCAUGUCCACUUUUAAUCUGGAGUACCCUGUAUUCUUCCUAAUUUUUUCUUAAUACCAUUUCUGAUAAAUCAUCUUGAAACACAUUUUUAGAGUGUACUAUUUUCUCUUUUACUGUUCUUCACAAACAGAGGAGUCAAACAGGGGGCAUUUGCAUCUUCUAGAAUAGAGAAAGGUAGACAAUCCUCCAUUUAAAACUAAAAUGAGUGGCAUUUCAGAACUAGUACCCCCUACCCAAAGAAAAACCAUUUUGUAUAUAAUGGCAAAGCAGUAGCUUAAGCUCACACAGCACCUUCAGCCCAGCCACCGUUCAGAUACUUUUGCACUUUAGUGCCCCUCUGCAGUACUGCAGGACCUGUGAACCUCUUGGAGAAAUGCCAUAGCUCCACACCCUGAGGCAAUGUAAGAUCUUACAAUUCACCGUAACAAAACCUGUACAUUUUUCCCAAGCCAGUUUAUGAAUAUGUCAGUGUGCAAUUUAUCAAAGCAGAGCCUUACUGAUCAAAGUUUAAAUAAAGCAUGUAAAAAAUGUGGAAGUGUAUAGAUUGCCUAAAUUUUUAUUAAAUACCAGACUGGCUUAUGGGACUUCUGAUUGUAUCUCAAAUAUAGUACCAUCUGGUCAUACUCAGAAGCAAUCCAUUCACUGAGAAAAAAUAGCUUCAGAAAUUUUGUAUCUGCAAAAGUCUGCAAGCAAAAGAACAUGUGCAUCAUAUGGAUAUUCAUUACCUUGUGAUCCACUUGUUUUUAAAUGAAAUGUGAGUGAAAGUACCUUUAAUUUAUUAAGCAACCUUGGUUUUGUCUAGAAAAGGAGGCAUAGGAACCAGCUUUUCUCUGCACUGGUAAUUCUGCACUGCCUUAUUUUUAUUUCAAAAUCUAAUCUUCUAAUACUGAAAUUUCAUUUAUUAUACAUCAAGUGGUUGAAAUGUAGGCCUGUCUUGUUUGUCAAAAUAAGGAUCAGCAUCUUAGUUUUUAUCUAUGUCAAAUCUAGAUGGUUAACAGUGUGCAUGUAAACACAGUGUAAAUUUUAUCUCUGUAACAGUGACUCUUCUGGUUAGAAGCUCUUUAAAACAUCAUGUACAGUACUCCAGUAGAAAAACUGCCGAUGUAAAAUAUGCUUUUCAAGAAAAAGAGCUAACUUAAUUGUUUUUAUAUGAAAUCUGGGCAAAGUGAUUUCUCAUAUUUAUGCUAAAUUAGCAAAAUAUUUUUACUCCAUGUAGUAGCUGGAAAGGUUUUUUAUUUACUUGUUUCCACAAGAAGUCCUACAUGUUUUAUAUGACCUGCAUUGAAAAGUCUAGUUCUCUAGGGACUGGAUUCCAAACUUGAACGUAUUCCAUCUCCUGGGAAAGUGCACUCAUGUUGGUUAUCUGGCUCAGCAAUUCCACAGCCUCUGUUCCUCGCAGUCACAGACCACUCUAGUCUCUUUCUCUAAGCCUGAGUAGCCAGAUGAUCUUGCAUACUAAAAUUAUGGAGGUCUCAACAGUUAAGCAAGAUAUUUAAUUGGACUGCUGCUUUUAAACUGUUUGAAGAAGCAAAGGGAAAGAAAGUUCGUCUUAAGAUCUGUAUAUGGAAAUAAUUUUAAGCUUCAUGAACUACACAUUUCCUUAAUUUCUUUUUUUUAAGCAAAUUGUAACAUCAAAGAUGCCAAAGGGUAAUAUAAGCUACAAUAAUAUUCAACAGAACUUAACCUAGAUCUUAUGUUGUAAUAAUUUAUUCAAAUUAACUGUAUUCUUCUGUAUUUAUAUUUUCGGUAUUUAUUAUGAAUGAUAUGAAAUUUGAUGUAUUUAUUGUGGCUUAUUACUGCAGUGUAUAUAUUACAAAAAUGAGCAUUUUUAAGUCUUAACAUUAGUUUUUUUGUUAAUUAGUGGCACUUGUAUCAGCUGUAUUUUUAUUAUAUAUUGUACAAUAUAUAUUGUCCAUUUGUUUGCAAUGAAGUAAACCAGGUUUCUACAUUACAUCCUGGCUGCCAGUGCAUUGUGUGUCUCAUUUCUGCUACACAGUCACUAGAAAGCCUCUCUCAGCUAAGAGAGUCAGAAUUAGUACUGCACCUCCUCCCUGGCAUCUGCAGAGCCUCCAGAGGCACUGAAAUUUCAAGCAUUUCUCCCAUUUCUGAUAGUCUAAUAGCAUAAGGAGAAGCAGUUUGUGUGGAAUUUGUGUGUGUGUUUUUGUUUCAAAAUAUUUGUAUGCCAAUUAAAUUAAAUAUACAGAAAUGCCUUCUUAGGUAUAUCCAUUUGCCCUUUAAUGACACUACUGCCUACAAUUUUCUUUGGCCAGGAAAAUAGUGUACCUGAUUAAUCUGUGCCUAUAAUUUUCAUAAUAAGGUAAUGGAACAAUUGUUUUCAACAGCUGUUGAAAGAUUUUGCAACAGCUCUCUCUGGUGGACAAUUUGCAGUAAUUUUAUACAUCAGAUCAUUUCAAUGACAACAUUCAAAUACUGCUAAAUUCCAGAACAACUGCUUAUUUUGAAAACUG